UACGUAGGGGGCUAGCGUUGUCCGGAAUCAUUGGGCGUAAAGAGCGUGUAGGCGGCCCGGUAAGUCCGCUGUGAAAGUCGGGGGCUCAACCCUCGAAUGCCGGUGGAUACUGUCGGGCUAGAGUGCGGAAGAGGCGAGUGGAAUUCCUGGUGUAGCGGUGAAAUGCGCAGAUAUCAGGAGGAACACCAAUUGCGAAGGCAGCUCGCUGGGACGUAACUGACGCUGAGACGCGAAGGCGUGGGGAGCGAACGGG
rnacentral:rRNA from 1 species